rnacentral:rRNA from 1 species
CCUACGGGUGGCAGCAGUGAGGAAUAUUGGUCAAUGGACGCAAGUCUGAACCAGCCAUGCCGCGUGCAGGAAGACGGCUCUAUGAGUUGUAAACUGCUUUUGUACGAGGGUAAACGCAGAUACGCGUAUCUGUCUGAAAGUAUCGUACGAAUAAGGAUCGGCUAACUCCGUGCCAGCAGCCGCGGUAAUACGGAGGAUUCAAGCGUUAUCCGGAUUUAUUGGGUUUAAGGGGUGCGUAGACGGUCGGAUAAGUUAGAGGUGAAAUUCGGAGGCUCAACUUUGGAAUUGCAUUUGAUACUGUCCGGCUAGAGAGCAGUUGCGGUAGGCGGAAUGCAUGGUGUAGCGGUGAAAUGCUUAGAGAUCAUACAGAACACCGAUUGCGAAGGCAGCUUACCAAGCUACUUCUGACGUUGAGGCACGAAAGCGUGGGGAGCAAACAGGAUUAGAUACCCGAGUAGUC